UACGUAGGUGGCGAGCGUUGUCCGGAUUUACUGGGCGUAAAGGAUGCGUAGGCGGAUAUUUAAGUGAGAUGUGAAAUACCCGAGCUUAACUUGGGUGCUGCAUUUCAAACUGGAUAUCUAGAGUGUGGGAGAGGAGAAUGGAAUUCCUAGUGUAGCGGUGAAAUGCGUAGAGAUUAGGAAGAACACCAGUGGCGAAGGCGGCUUCCUGGUCCAGCACCGACGUUCAGGCACGAAAGCGUGGGGAGCAAACAGG
rnacentral:rRNA from 1 species